CGCUACAGUCAGACUACUCUUAAUGUGCCUGAUCUGGUCUGAUCUCAAAGCUAAGCAGGUCGGGCAUGGUUAGUACUUGGAUGGGAGAUACCUGUGGAUUGUAGCCU
rnacentral:rRNA from 1 species